UCUGGUCCCGUUUAGUUUAGUUGUGGCCUCCUAACCGGAGCUGACCUCUGUGUGACCCCUGGGCCGGGCCUGACCCGUUUCUCGCCUCUGAUCUCUCGCUCCUCUCCGAACGCUGAAGACAUCGACCGGCGGGCCGCAGGAUGACAGGGGUCACGCGGUGACUCCCGCAUGCGGCCCGGUGUCGGCGGCCCACGAGUGCUGUUACCCGGGAACAAGCAGGGCUUUUAUCACAUCUCCAGCUCUGACUCAGAAACUGCAUUUCCAGCCUCUCUCUCUCCCUCUCUGUCUCCGGGACGAACGAGCGGACACGUUUCUCCACAGCAGUUCAAGCGCAGGAGCAGCCCGUCAGGCCCGUCUCU